GAUGAACGCUGGCGGCGUGCCUAAUACAUGCAAGUCGAGCGAACGGACGAGAAGCUUGCUUCUCUGAUGUUAGCGGCGGACGGGUGAGUAACACGUGGGUAACCUACCUAUAAGACUGGGAUAACUUCGGGAAACCGGAGCUAAUACCGGAUAAUAUUUUGAACCGCAUGGUUCAAAAGUGAAAGACGGUCUUGCUGUCACUUAUAGAUGGAUCCGCGCUGCAUUAGCUAGUUGGUAAGGUAACGGCUUACCAAGGCAACGAUGCAUAGCCGACCUGAGAGGGUGAUCGGCCACACUGGAACUGAGACACGGUCCAGACUCCUACGGGAGGCAGCAGUAGGGAAUCUUCCGCAAUGGGCGAAAGCCUGACGGAGCAACGCCGCGUGAGUGAUGAAGGUCUUCGGAUCGUAAAACUCUGUUAUUAGGGAAGAACAUAUGUGUAAGUAGCUGUGCACAUCUUGACGGUACCUAAUCAGAAAGCCACGGCUAACUACGUG
rnacentral:rRNA from 1 species